UUAUAUUAUAUAUGGGUAUUUUACCAGAAUUUGAAAGAUUUUAAUAAUUAAUUAUAUAAAUAUUUAUAAAUGUUAAUUAUAUAAAUUAUAUAUUUAUAUAAUAUUUAUAUUAUAUACCUAUUGUGUAAACUUAUUCCCGACCGGCGGAAAUCGACGAAUUGCUUUAUUUUAAAACAGGCGUUUACUUUUCGCAGAUUUAAUUAGCCGAAAACUUAUAUCGCUGGGUAAAUAUAUUAAAACGCUCCUUCCACUUGCAGCGCCGGGGGUUUAAUAAUUGCAUUAUAGCUUUUAGUAAUAUUAUACUAUUUUAGGGCUUAUUUAAUAAUACUAUUAUCUGUCGAGUUUCUACGUAAAGUUUACCACUAAAACGGAAUUAAAUAAAGUUUAUAUAUAUUGUGGAUAGACUUUCUGUAAGUCCUAUUAAUUAUAUGCAUUAUUUUGCACGUAAUAAACUCACUUUUAUUUACAUUUAAACCUUAAUAUAUAAUACCAAAACGGGAUUAUUAGAACUCCGUUAAUUUAUUAUAUAUAGAAAUUGCGAUUUAAAAUUUAUAAAAUGGGAUUAAUUACCCUAUACCGGGUUCAACACCCACCCUGCACUUAUAAAUUAAUUACCUUAUACCGGGUUAAAAAUUUUACGAAAAUCGCAUUUAAACGCAAACCCAAGAUAAUUUAUAUACAAAUAAGGGUAUUUUUUCAAAACUUAUAUAAAUUAAUUUUUCAAAAAACCACCUGCGGUACCGGAAACCUUUCCAGCCUACUGACCCCAAUUUUGAAAUUGGAAAAUAUAUAAAGGAAAAAAGCAAAUUUCCCCCAAUUAAUAUAACUAGUUGUCCCAAGUUUUAAUCCAUUUUUAUUAUAUAUUUACAAAAUAUUACCUGUAAUUUAGAAUUUCCCCCUAAAUCCCUGUUAAUAUACUAAUAUUAUUAAUAUAUUAUAAGCCUGGUAAAAUUUUAAUUUGUGUAUAAAACGCAUUUUAUAUUGUUGGAAAACCUAAAUUUCAGGUUUUAUUUUGGUUGUUAUUACAUUUUUACAACACGUAUAUUAACGGCAAUAUUGCUACUUGUGUGCAAAUUAUUAGUUAUAUAUAUAUUGUUUAGCACCUAUCCCCCCUAUAUUAAUAAUAAAGGGUCGGUAAUUUGGCGUUUAAUUUAGGCCGAAUUUUAAAGUAUUAUAACGCACGUUGGUAUUACAGAUUCCAAAUUUGUAAUGUGGUUUUUAUGGGUUAUAUAUUAUUAUUACAAUUAAAUUGAAAUUUUAAUGCGUUUAAUGGGGUUUGCGUUAGUAAAUUAGAAUUAGAACCCUUGCAUUUGUUUGUUUAUAACCUAAAAACCCACCAAUUGUUAUAUUGCAUUUAUUUUAUAUAUUACCCUGAAAUCUAUCCUGCAGCUAUUUAACAAAUUGAUUUUCGUUUGCUAUAUAUAUUUGAAUUAAUAUAAAUACGCAAACACUUAUAAAUUGUGGAUUUUGGGGGUUUUAACUUUGUAUUUCUAUUGCAUUCGACCAUUGAAAAUAAUAAUAAACCUCAUAUCUUUUGCACGUAUAAAUUUAUAACAGUUAAAAGGCAAACGGUUAUAACUAAUUUUACAUUAAGGUAUUUACCUUUAAAUAAUUAGGUUAAUAACCUCUCAAUUAAAAUUUAAGCCAUUUUACCAAAGAAACCCUAUAUUUGGCCUUCCAGGCCCAAUUUUACAAAAUAGGGGAUUUUAACCCAACCCAAACAAAAUUUUAACCGUUAAAUUACAAAUUCAAAAACUGCGAUUGAAAAUGUUAAUUACGCAAAUAAAUUAAUUUUAAUAUAUAAUUUAAUAAUAUGUAUUUUUAUUAACGUUAACAAAUGGCGAACUUACUAAUUCCAAUAAUAUUGCGGGUAUUAAUACCCCUAAUAACAGUAAUUUAAAUACCAGCCCAUAAAUUCUUAGGGCUAGUAAUAUUAUUAUAACGUUUAAUCCAUUUAAUAGCCUAAUCUUGGGUGACGGGAUAGGUAAAAAAACAUUAAAACGGGUGUUUUCCUUGCCUAAAAAUUGCAAAUUAAUAGGGGUUAAUAAUCUCAACCUGUAAAAGUAGGUAUUUAUAAUGCAAUUUAAAGUUAUAAAAAUUGCAAAGUUUAUAUUUAAUUUUAUAUUUGGUUAUAAUUUACCGGAACGCGAACACCUCAUCCUGUUAUUAUAUAUAAAAAACAAUUUAACUAAAUAAUUGCUAAAAUUUAUUAUAUAGUAUUUUAAUUUUGUAACGGUUUGUAAAAUCCUAGAAAAUAAAUAUUCCGUUGCAUUUAAAAUUAACCAGAAUCCAUUAUAUUAGAAAUUCCACGACCUGAAUCUUUCGGGAUUUAAAAGGUAAAUACCAAAAUUUAACAACUGUUUUAAUUUACUAAUAAUUAAAUUAGCAGAUAUUCAUAUGCAAUUUAAUUCUGCUAAUAUCCGAAAUUAAUAUUUACAAAUACUGGAAAAAUAUUUCCUUACCUGGACGGAACGCCAAUGUAAUAUUUAACGGGUUUUGCAAAUUAUAAGCCAAAAUUCGGAUAGGGUAAAUUUGCAAUAUUAUAUAGCGGACUUUAUAUCCGAAAGUUUAUUUUACAUGUUUUAUAAUAAUUAAAAUCACUAAAUCUAAGGUUAGAAAUCGAAGAAACGUUAAAAGAAUGCUAAAGAAAGCGCUAAAAAGGAAAACAGCGGGCAAAAAGCCACCUCCAAACUAUAAAGAAAAAGCGAAACUUUUAAUUCGGAUUUUUUUUUUGCAAAAAAUAUUAAAUCCUCCAAUUUGAGCAAAUCGAACGUUGGAAAGUUUAUAAUUUUAAUGGACUUCGAAUUAUAUAUAAAUUUCACUUCAAAUAAUAUUGAUAUAUACGUAAUAUAUAACGGUUUAAAAUAGGCAAAUAAUUCGGGUGGUUAUAUACCGUACCGGGUAUUUUAACAAAAGGGUAAUUUUAUUAUUAAUAGGCUUAUAGAAUUAUAUUCGGAAUCGGAUUUGGAAGCCAAUUAAUUAUACUUGUAAAACGCUAAAACCCCAAAUAUUAAUAAUUGAUUUCAAAAUUAAAACAGAAUUUGAAAACGGCGUAAAUAGGAGUUUAAAACCCCAUGAAUUAAAUUACCCGGUUUUAAAUAAUAUAAAUAGCACGUAUUAUAUUUUUGCAAAUAAAUUACUUCUUACCGAUUAUAUCCCCGGUUUAAUAAUUACAAUUAGUACGCGAGGCAAUCCUAUUAAAUUUAUUGGUAUUGGAAUUGUUAAAAUAUAAAUCCGGCAUAGUUUUAAAAUUAACGAAUUUAGAAAGAAUUUGUUAAAUAACGUAUUAUAUAUUCCCUUGUUUAGAAUAAGUAUUGUUAAUGGGUUAAUAUAUUAUUAUAUAAGGGGCAUACCUUUAAUAAGUACCUUGUACAAUCGGGAUUGCAAAACGUGGGGACGUUUGAAUACCUUUAAAAAUUGGUUUUAUUUAAAAGUAAAAAAAUGCGAUAUUUUUAUUUUAAAUUUCAAAUGUAUGGUAUCGAAUCACGCCAAUAUAAUUGGUAAAUAUAAUCCUGUUUUUAAUUUAAUUUUACACAAAAGGUUUAAAGACUACGCAACCCCAUUGGACGUAAAUUUAAAUAAUAUAACAUUUAAAAACCAAAACAAUUAUAAACUUUAUAUUAAUUCGGAACCGGAAAGAAACAUAAUAACGGAAAAUUAUAUCCUAAAUAAAAUAAAAAUAUAACCGUAAAUUUAUUUAUAAUGCAAAAGUUUAACAUAAUAAAUUCUAAAAGUUAACGUGAAAUUAAAUCCUAUAAAUGUAAUAAACCGUUAAGUAGCCCUUUUAUAUAAUUAAAUAUAAAAAAAAGCUAACUCCGAAAAAGGGGUUUCCGUUAUAAAAAAUCUGUUAUUAAAACCUUUUUUAUUACCAGACUUAAUACAAAUCCCUGCUAAUUACCUUUUUAAAAUUUAAAUCGAAUUACCGAUCGUUGAGUAACGGUUUGACAAAAUGGUGUUAGAGGCAAUUACAACGAUAUCCAGGUCCAGAAAACCCUAUUACAAUAUAAGUGUUUAGGGUAUAUAGGGUUAUUAUUCUUUAAAACACCGCUAAAAACGCAAACGGUUUAUUUAAUUUUCCCAAAAUUAGGGUUAUAAAUUACAAUACCUGCAUUAAAACUGUUUUGGUUAGCCGUAUAAGUAAAACAAUAUUCCUUACAUUUUCUAAUACUCUCGAUUUUAUACAAAGUAAUAUAGUAAUUUUUAAAUUUAAUUUUUAUAGUAAAAAACCUGUAUUUGUAUUAUAAAUACAUUAAAAAUUACAUUUUUGGUAAUUGAUUUUAUUACGUAAUAUAACCGGAUUUAUAAUUAUAAUGGCUAUUAAAACUCUUUUAAGGGGUUUUAAUAUUACGUACGGGCGUUACCCUAUUAAAUUUAAUUUUAAUAGGGGGUACGAAAUUAAUAAAAACUUAAAAAUUAAUUUGUAAAUAAAAAUGCUAACUUUAAUAUUUCCCAUUUUUAUAACCACGACCACAAUAGGUUUUAACGGAACGGUCCGUUAAAAUUAUUUUAAAUAAAUUUAAAUUUAUUACUAUAACGGCAAAUUUACAAUUAUAUUCAUAAUAUUAUAUAUUACCAGCUCUAACUAAUAGUUUUAGCCGUAUAGCGGUAAUUAAUAAAAAAUUAAAAUUAUAUAAAAAGUUUAAUUCCGAAUUUUAAAUUAAAUAAUUAUAUAAACCUGAUUUAAAAUUUUUCUAUAUUAUUAAUACCGUAUACCAGGCUAUUUUACCGUUGGAAAAACGCCAGAAAUUUCAAAAAUUGGUUUCCCACACAAAAGUGAUAAAUUUUUUAAUUUAUUUAUCCAAGUAUAUAACGUUGGUUUACGCCCCCGUUAAAUAAACCAUGUAUAAAACUUUUACUGUGAAAUUUGUAAAGCUUAUAUUUUUAAAAAAUUCAACUAUUUUAAAAAGAGCGUUAUAAAAUUUAAAAAGGGAAAAUUCAAAUUUAAAAAGGGAUUUUAAUUUUAAAUUUGAAAACGAGAUUUACAGCGAUAAAAAUCUGGAUUUGAUUAAUAAUUUUUUUACCACGCGUUAUAAAGCGUAUAAUCUUUGUUAAUAUAAUAUUUCCCAGGUUUAUAUAGUUUAUCAUUUGCCCCUAAACGUUUAUAACGGUAACGGUACCUGAUUUAAUAUUUAAAAUAACGGAAAUUCCAGUGUUUUUGGUAUUUAAAAUAUAAUAUAUGGAAUUAAAUUUGCAAUUCCAAAUCCCAAUUCCAAUAGUUAUAAGUUAUAUAUAUUAUUUUUAUUUAUUUGCCUAAAAAUUAAUAAAGAAACCCCAUCAAAUAUAAUAAACCAAAUAAUUACCAGUAAAUUGUAAAACAUUUUCAAAAAUAUUAGACUGAUAAUAAUUUUAAUAUUUAAGUUCGACCAAACUAUUGCUGCAAAAGCCUUCCGUUUUAAAUUUAAAAUUAAAAGACCUGCAAGCCGAGAAUUAGUUUUUACGCGGCCGGUAUUUGGAUUAAAAAGAAUUUAAAAAUAGUAGGCCUAUAAAAUAUAAGACCAGGUUUAUUAUUAAGAUAUUUUUACAAAUUAAAAGUUUAAAUUAUACCGAAACUUUUGCUAGUUUUAAAAUACCGCCUAUUAGGUAUAUAUUAUCAAUUACAAUUAAUAAACAAAAUUAGGAAAUACGAUAAAUUAAUUUUAUCGGCACGUUCUCAAAUUAUACUUCUACCGACGUAGAUAUUUACUUGCAAAUUCCGGAAAUUUUAACGUAUAGGUUAAAUUUUGGAAUAUUACAACCGUUGAAACUUUAAUAAAAAUGGGUUAUAAUUUUAAGAAAAUUCAAAUUAUACAAUUGGAAAAAAGUUAUACGGUUUGAGACAGGGUUUGGAGAAAUGGCAAAUAAAAUUAAAAAACCUAUUUUUUACAAGAAGUUUUAAACCGCCAAUUUUCAAUUCCGUUGUUUUUUAUAAUAGCAAGUCCAAAUAUUUUAUUAUUAUUUUUAUCAGCAAUUGCCUGCUAAUAAAGUUUAAAUUGCAAUGCGUUCAGGAUUUAAAAGCCCGUUUUGAUAAAAAAUACGCGUUAAAAAAUAGGGGCCCUGCAAUUUAUUGUUUAAAAGUUUAAAUUAUAAAAAAUAGAUUCAACCACCUAUUUUGGUUCCAUUAAUAUUAAUAUACGAAAAGUUUUUAAUAAAGUUCGGAUUAAUUAAUUGCAAAUUUAUUUGUACGUUUUUUACAACCGGAUAUAUUAGAAUAUAGUCGGCGUAAACCUGUAAAUCCGUUGGAAACCAAACUAUUAUAAUAUAUUAUCGGUACCCUAAUAUAUAUAAUAUUAUUCAAACGUCCAAACAUUGGUUUUGCAAUUGUAUAAAUAUUUCGUUUUUUAACUAAAACUAUUAUAAUUUAUUUAAUGGCAAUUACAAGAUUAUUCCGCUAUUUGACAGGUAUUAAAUCCUGAAUAAUUUGCUACGGAAACAAAAUAAUCAAAAUUAAUUUAUCACCUAAUGUUUCAAUUGAGGGUUUAAAAAUUUACAAUAUUUGGUUUUAAUAAUAAUAAUUUUACCGGGGUUAGGGAGAAUUUAAAAUCCAUUUACGGAUAUUUAUAUAUUUUAUUUGGUGGUUUUAUAACGUGAAAAUGCAAAAGAUUAGUAUUUUAAUUUCAAAUACUUUAAAAACCAAACAAAUAAUUUAAUCGAAAUUUUGCGCAAAAUAUUAUAAUUUGAAAACGUAUUUAUAAAAACUAAAUUAUUUGUAAAAAGCCCUAUUGCAAUAUUUGGAAAUAAUAUAAAUUUUAAAGUUAACGUAUAUAAGUUUACGUAUUAUUAACGUAUUAAAUAUAUAUUAUUAGAAUUUUAUUACGUAGGGGAAUUAAUUACAGAAAAAUAAACAAUUUUAAAAUAUCUCGAAUUUAAACAAAUACCCGCUAAUAAAUUUACAAUCCCCCUAACGCUUCUAAUUUACAUAGGCUUUUGUAAACUUAUAAAAUUAAAACCCUUAUAAAUUUACCUUCAAUUUAUUAAGUUUACGGCACCGAAUUAACUCGUUAAUCAAUUCCCACUAUUAUUUUCUUAUUUGUAAUUAUUGGAUUUUUAUUAACCGAAUAUAAACCGUUUUAUUCAAAUUUACUUUAAAGAAAUCGGUUAAUCAACUAUUUAAACCGACCCGAUAUCCAAAAUUACAUUUAAAUUCAAAUAAUACGGGUUUUUGGCAACUUAUUAAUGGGAAAUAUAAUGUAAAUUAUACUUGUUUGGAAUUUUUAAUGACAAAUAACCAAGUUAAUUAUUUGGCUCAAUAAAUAAUUUUGUAAAUUAGAAUUUGUAAAUUGCGGGUUUAAAUUUGGGGGUUAUAAUAAUUUUCGGGAGUUUAUUUAAUUUGGGGGUUUGGACAAGUUCAAUUUUAAUUUGAUUGAAAAAUUCGGUGUAAAAGGUUUAAUUAUCCAGGGGGUUCGUAUCCGCGGUUCGAAUUGGGCUGGGAUCCAUAAUGGAAUCUUUUUUUUUUGUUUUUUAUAUAUACUCUUUCCGACUUUAUUUUUAAAUCAAAUAGCAAAAAUAAUAGUGUUUAUUUUAUAUAUUGCUUUAUAUAUAAUAGACGUAUUCUUAUUCAUACAUUAUUUUUAAUAUAUAAUACUAAAAUGGGGUGGUUAAAAUUCUGUUAAUUUAUUAUAUAUAGGAAUCGUAAUUUAAAAAUUAACAAAUGGGAUCAUUCAUCCUAUACCGGAUUUAAUAUUCACCCUGCACGUACAAACUAAUUACUUUAUACCGGGUUAAAAACUUUACCAAAUUCGCAUUUAAAUCCAAAUUUAAAAAUUAUUUAUAUGUAAAUAACAAUGUUCUUUUCGAAAACAUAUAUAAAUUAAUUUUUCGGAAAAUUAUUUGCGGUACCGGCAAUUCUUUUAACGUAACGACCCCCAUUUUAAUAUCGGAGGGUAUAUAAAGGAAAAAAGCAAAUUCCCCCCAAUUGUUAUAAAAUAAGCUAAUAAUUAUACAAUGGUUGGGUACCCGAAAAAAACUAUUAUUAUUGUUAAAAGGAAAAAAAAGAGGUAGGGAAAAGGUUAUGGCAAUUUUCCUUCCUUCUUAUAUAACGUAUAUUAUUACGUAAUUCCCGCUGCUAUUUAGAAAGACAUAUAUAAUUAGGACGAAUCCGUAAUAUAACCCUUUUUUUCCAGUCUGGAAUUUAUAUAACUCGUAAUUUUCCCGCCCCGAAACCCGGGCUCCCAUCCUACCGCUUUUAUUUCCCCCCGAACGAAACCCUGUUUAACGGUUGUUGGGUCGCGGAAAGGGGGUUGUAUAAAUUACCCCAUUAUUUCCCCGAGGGUAUAAUAUGGGUUUUGUGGCGGUAUAAUUACGUUUGUAUAUUUGUUAUCCUAAUCCCGUAAUUAUAUAUUACCGGUUUCGAAAUAAUUCCGUAUUUUAUACGCGUCGUGGCUGGUAUAAUUAUUAUAUAUUACCGGGCGGUAUAAUUUUUAUCGCAUUUAUUAAUUUUUUGGAUUAAUUUUUUUGCCCCCCGAUUUUGUUUAUUUUUUGUUUUAUUUUCUGUUCGUUAUUAUAUUUUCGUUUAAUAUUACUUAUAAUUUAUCUAAUCCGGUUAAAACGUUUUCUCCCACCGUUACUAAUAUUGGCCAAUUUAAUCUUUUUUAUUUUUUAUAAUACCGUUAUUAUUAAUGGUAAUAAAUUUAUUAUUUUUGCGGUAAACCAAUCCGGCGGUUUUUGAGCGCGUUUGUUUAUUAACCGCGGUUAUAACAUGUUUGUCGUACCGCCGGUUCGAAUAAAUUCAAAAAUAAUUCCAAUAACAAAAAGUAUACCGCGUUUAAAUAACCUAUAUUAUUUUAUUUGUUUUAUAUUACAUUUGUCAAAAUUAGGGGUAUUUUAAAUUAUCUCACCAAUCCCGACGGAACAAUUUAUAUUAAUAUAAUAAUAAUAACAAAAUAUUUUAUAAUUAUACCUAAGAAUUAUAUACCCGAACCUUUUUUGCCUCGUUAACUAAAUAAUUUAUACCGUAUUAUAAUUCGCGGACGUUAUAUUAUUACAGCCAAAUUAUUAAUAAUAUAUAACGUAAAUAAUAAAAUUAUUAAAUCGGGGUACAAUAUUAAAAUAAUAUUCGAAUUUAAUUUCUUUUAUACCGUUUAUAAAUAUAAAUAUAGUCGGUUCCGAGACGAGGAAGUUUUCAAUGCGACUUUAAGUUUUGGCGGUUUUAACAUAUUAUUUUUAAUGCAUUAUAACGGCGGUAAUAAAACCACCCAGCAAUUCUUUUUCUGUUUCGUUUAAAAUAUUAAAUAUAUAAAAAUAAAUUCUUAAUCUUUUCUAAUUUAUAACCCGGAUGGGUAUUAAUUAAUUUUAUUAAAACAUAAUAACAAACGUUAUUAAUAAUUGUUGGAAAUUUAGCGCGAAUCUGUUAUUAUUUAACGCGAAACUAAUAUUAUUAUUUUUAUUUUUGCUAUUUCCGCCGCGUGUUCCGAAAUCCGUCUAAUACGGUAUUUAUUUGCGUUUUUUAACCAAUAUUUAGCCGUUUACAGGUGUUUUUUAUUAUUCUAUUGAACCCGCGUAUGUUUUUUUAGCGGUAUUUUUAUUUUCACCCCCUGGCCUGGUUUUUAUAAACAUUCUAACCAAUUGCGUUAUAAUUUUUAU
rnacentral:sRNA from 1 species